AAACUUGAGAGUUUGAUCCUGGCUCAGAACGAACGCUGGCGGCAUGCCUAACACAUGCAAGUCGAACGAGAUCUUCGGAUCUAGUGGCGCACGGGUGCGUAACGCGUGGGAAUCUGCCCUUGGGUUCGGAAUAACAGUUAGAAAUGACUGCUAAUACCGGAUGAUGUCGUAAGACCAAAGAUUUAUCGCCCAAGGAUGAGCCCGCGUAGGAUUAGCUAGUUGGUGGGGUAAAGGCCUACCAAGGCGACGAUCCUUAGCUGGUCUGAGAGGAUGAUCAGCCACACUGGGACUGAGACACGGCCCAGACUCCUACGGGAGGCAGCAGUGGGGAAUAUUGGACAAUGGGCGAAAGCCUGAUCCAGCAAUGCCGCGUGAGUGAUGAAGGCCCUAGGGUUGUAAAGCUCUUUUACCCGGGAUGAUAAUGACAGUACCGGGAGAAUAAGC
rnacentral:rRNA from 1 species